CAGCCGCCGCGGGAAUACGUAGGGUGCGAGCGUUAAUCGGAAUUACUGGGCGUAAAGCGUGCGCAGGCGGUUUUGUAAGACAGGCGUGAAAUCCCCGGGCUUAACCUGGGAAUGGCGCUUGUGACUGCAAGGCUAGAGUGCGUCAGAGGGGGGUAGAAUUCCACGUGUAGCAGUGAAAUGCGUAGAUAUGCGGAGGAACACCGAUGGCGAAGGCAGCCCCCUGGGCCAACACUGACGCUCAUGCACGAAAGCGUGGGGAGCAAACAGGAUUAGAUACCCGUGUAGUCCCUGUCUCUUAUAC
rnacentral:rRNA from 1 species